rnacentral:rRNA from 1 species
AUACGGAGGAUCCGAGCGUUAUCCGGAUUUAUUGGGUUUAAAGGGUGCGCAGGCGGCCAUUUAAGUCAGCGGUUAAAUCGUGGGGCUCAACCCCAUUCUGCCGUUGAUACUGGGUGGCUUGAUUGCGGUCGAGGUUGGCGGAAUUCGUUGUGUAGCGGUGGAAUGCAUAGAUAUGACGAAGAACACCGAUUGCGUAGGCAGCUGACCAGACCGCAAAUGACGCUCAUGCACGAAAGUGCGGGGAUCGAACAGGAUUAGAUACCCUGGUAGUCCGCACAGUAAACGAUGAAUACUUGUUUUCGGCGAUAUAAUGUCGGAGGCAAAGCGAAAGCGAUAAGUAUUCCACCUGGGGAGUACGCCGGCAACGGUGAAACUCAAAGGAAUUGGCGGGG